GGAGGAAAGUAGGGGAUCGCAAGACCUCAUGCUCGUGGAGCGGCCGAUAUCUGAUUAGCUAGUUGGUAGGGUAAAAGCCUACCAAGGCAUCGAUCAGUAGCUGGUCUGAGAGGACGACCAGCCACACUGGAACUGAGACACGGUCCAGACUCCUACGGGAGGCAGCAGUGGGGAAUUUUGGACAAUGGGCGAAAGCCUGAUCCAGCAAUGCCGCGUGAGUGAAGAAGGCCUUCGGGUUGUAAAGCUCUUUUGUCAGGGAAGAAACGGUGAAAGCUAAUAUCUUUUGCUAAUGACGGUACCUGAAGAAUAAGCACCGGCUAACUACGUGCCAGCAGCCGCGGUAAUACGUAGGGUGCAAGCGUUAAUCGGAAUUACUGGGCGUAAAGCGUGCGCAGGCGGUUUUGUAAGUCUGAUGUGAAAUCCCCGGGCUCAACCUGGGAAUUGCGUUUGAAACUACAAAGCUAG
rnacentral:rRNA from 1 species